AUUGAACGCUGGCGGCAGGCCUAACACAUGCAAGUCGAGCGAGCGGCGGACGGGUGAGUAAUGUAUGGGGAUCUGCCCGAUGGCGGGGGAUAACUACUGGAAACGGUAGCUAAUACCGCAUACUAUCCGAUGAACCCAUAUGGGAUUAGCUAGUAGGUGAGGUAAAGGCGCACCUAGGCGACGAUCCCUAGCUGGUCUGCGAGGAUGAUCAGCCACACUGGGACUGAGACACGGCCCAGACUCCUACGGGAGGCAGCAGUGGGGAAGAUUGCACAAUGGGCGCAAGCCUGAUGCAGCCAUGCCGCGUGUAUGAAGAAGGCCUUAGGGUUGUAAAGUACUUUCAGCGGGGAGGCGUUACCCGCAGAAGAAGCACCGGCUAACGCCGUGCCAGCCGCCGCGGUAAUUC
rnacentral:rRNA from 1 species